rnacentral:rRNA from 1 species
AGCGGCGCACGGGUGAGUAACACGUGGGUCAUGCACCUGUUAGUGGGGAAUAACCCUGGGAAACCGGGGCUAAUACCGCAUAAGUCCGGAAGGAGAAAGCCGAAAGGCGCUGACAGAGUAGCCCGCGGUCGAUUAGCUAGUUGGUGAGGUAACGGCCCACCAAGGCGACGAUCGAUAGCCGGCCUGAGAGGGCACACGGCCACACUGGCACCGAAACACGGGCCAGACUCCUACGGGAGGCAGCAGUGGGGAAUCUUGCACAAUGGGGGAAACCCUGAUGCAGCGACGCCGCGUGAGCGAUGAAGCCCUUCGGGGUGUAAAGCUCUUUCGGCAGGGACGAUUAUGACGGUACCUGCAGAAGAAGCUGCGGCUAACUACGUGCCAGCAGCCGCGGUAAUACGUAGGCAGCGAGCGUUGUUCGGAAUUACUGGGCGUAAAGAGUGCGUAGGUGGUUAGCUAAGUUUGGUGUGAAAUCUCCUGGCUUAACUGGGAGGGUGCGCCGAAAACUGGCUGGCUAGAGUGUGGGAGAGGGAAGUGGAAUUCCUGGUGUAGCGGUGAAAUGCGUAGAUAUCAGGAGGAACACCUGAGGUGUAGACGGCUUCCUGGACCAUUACUGACACUGAGGCACGAAAGCGUGGGUAGCAAACAGGAUUAGAUACCCUGGUAGUCCACGCCCUAAACGAUGCAAACUUGGUGUGC